UGAGACCCUGUCUUGAAAACAUAAAGAAGUAAAUAAACAGGUAGUGCUUGAGGUGCAGCUGAGGAUUCAUGGCCCAGAGUCCUCAACAGCGAACCUGAGUUCUCCAACAGCUUCCCCUUUUGCAGACUCAGAGACCCUGCUCAGCUGCUCCCCAGACAAGCAGCACAUGUGGGCAGCUGGGCAACCCCAGCAGAGAGGUUUCUGUUCCAGGAUGUAGCACUGUGGGGGGGUCAUUGUGUAGUCUGCAUGCAGUAAUAAACCCCAACAUCCUCAGCCUCCACCAGGUUGAUUUUCAGUGUGAAAUCAGUGUCUGACCCACUGCCACUGAACCUCUCUGGGACUCCAGAGGCCCGCUUGGAAACCUCAUAGAUCAAGAGCUGUGGAGACUGGCCUGGCUUCUGCAGGUACCAAUCCAAAUAGGUGUUUCUAUUACUAUGCAGGAGGCUCUGACUAGACCUGCAGGAGAUGGAGGCUGGCUCUCCAGGUGUGACGGGCAGGGACAGUGGAGUCUGGGUCAACAGAAUGUCCCCACUAGUUCCUGGAAUGGUGACUGAAGAGGGGACCCAGAGCAUCAGCAGUCCCAGGAGCUGAGCAGGGAGCCUCAUUGUGAGAAGGUGACCUGAGGAGUCCUGAUCAGUCAAGGCAAGGCAGGCAAAGGCUGGUGUCUCCUAGUCAGUCAUCUCGCUGAUAUCACUCCCCUAGGAUAUCGUUUUGAAGAUGCAGUAACACUAUCAUGGAAUAAUACUUGGACAUGCUGAGGCAUGCGACUGUGUAGAAGAAAUGCUGUUUGUCUUCUGAGUCUAUAAGAGGUCAUCAACGCUGCAUAACUUCUGCCUGCUCCUCCUCUGGAAGUUUCAAGUAAACCAAGCAUCCACAUGAAUUGGCAACCCCAGCUGAGAACCUUAUGUCUAAUGUCAUCCACCUUUGAGUUAUAAAGGCUGUGAAUUCCAAGGUCAAGACGCUGGCAAACUUGGUGUCUGGUGAGGACUGUUCCUGCUUCCAAGAUUGCACCUCGUGGCUGUGUCGUCACAUGUUGGAGGCGGAAAGGCAAAAGUGGCAAGUCUGUGUAAAGCCACCUUACUAGGCAUGAAUCUCAUUCAGGAGUGCUGAGCCCUCAUGACCUAAUCACCUCCCAAAGGGUCUACUUUCUAAUAUUGUUGCCUUGGGAUUCAGUUUUAACAGGAACUUUGGAGGUGACACAGACAUUCAGGCCAUAGCAGUGAUGUAGUAGAAAAAAAAAAUAAUAACUGAAUUAUAUUGGAUCAAUUGUAUAUCCAUAUUACAUUAAAAUGAAUCUUAACCUC